AGUCGAGCGGAACGACACUAACAAUCCUUCGGGUGCGUUAAUGGGCGUCGAGCGGCGGACGGGUGAGUAAUGCCUAGGAAAUUGCCUUGAUGUGGGGGAUAACCAUUGGAAACGAUGGCUAAUACCGCAUAAUGCCUACGGGCCAAAGAGGGGGACCUUCGGGCCUCUCGCGUCAAGAUAUGCCUAGGUGGGAUUAGCUAGUUGGUGAGGUAAUGGCUCACCAAGGCGACGAUCCCUAGCUGGUCUGAGAGGAUGAUCAGCCACACUGGAACUGAGACACGGUCCAGACUCCUACGGGAGGCAGCAGUGGGGAAUAUUGCACAAUGGGCGAAAGCCUGAUGCAGCCAUGCCGCGUGUAUGAAGAAGGCCUUCGGGUUGUAAAGUACUUUCAGUUGUGAGGAAGGGGGUGGAGUUAAUAGCGCUAUCUCUUGACGUUAGCAACAGAAGAAGCACCGGCUAACUCCGUGCCAGCAGCCGCGGUAAUACGGAGGGUGCGAGCGUUAAUCGGAAUUACUGG
rnacentral:rRNA from 1 species